ensembl:lncRNA
AUCAUGCCCAACCCCAUGUAAGCCCUGCAAGUACCUUGCUGCUGCUUCCACUCAGAAUUGGGAAAUAGUACUUUAAAUCAAGUCACACCCAUAGUAAGGUGGUUUGAACUACAGCGUAGUGUUUUCGUCAGCACUGUUUCACCACUAUCUCUGUCUUGAUUCUGUAACCUGGAAGCCUCAGAUUUCUACCAGACUGGAAGUUUGACUGGAAGUUUGAGGUCUUGAAGCAUGAGACUCUUCCAGUAUCACCUUCAGAAAUCUGAUCCAUCUAUACACUGCCUUUGCCAAGAUUAGUGGUAAAUUCCAAGGUAAAAUCUUUAGGGAAACAUUCAGUCAUUUACUGUUAUUGUUCUUGUUUCAGAAAUACAGAGGGUAAGGUGCUGAAUAGCAUGAUGAAGACAGUGCAAAACUAAUUUGUUUGCAUUAUACCUGCUACCUUUAUUAGAAUGUUUUUUCUCUAAAAUACUAAAUUUCUCCUUCUGGAGUAAACAGCUACUUAUAACCAUCGCUUUUGAGUGAAGACAGCUAUGGGAAAUCCAACUCUAACAGACUUCUCCAUGAAGGCAACAGGAGAAGGAGAGAGGGCCAAGGAAAGAGACAAAAUGAGAGCAUUUACAUACUCCAUGGAGGAAGUGUUUUGUCUUAACAUACACUCUUAUAAAUGUUUAUGCUUGUAAAAGUAAAUGCUGCUAUUACUGUAUUAAUUUUGGUAUCUAAAAGACAUAGCUAAAUUCAAAGACCAGUAUCUAGCUGAGACAAUAUUUCUGUUUUGUUUCUAUACGUUCUGUAUUUGUCUGAAUUUUAAGCUCUAGAGAGAUUUUUAAAAUAAUGAAUAGGUGAUAAGUUGAAAUACUUCUCUCACAUAAUCUCACUUUUCUCAUUUCACACUCCUUUAGUAACAACCACCUUUUAGAUAAUGUCAGAAUCCACAUUAAAAAAAAUGAAAAUUAUAUCAUAAAAUCGUAGUUUUCCAUCAAAAACUCUGCUUACAGGAGUUCUCUAUCUGUAUUUCCAGAUAUUUGUAGCAAUAAAAUUCAGAUGAAUAUCUUUGAAGCAAAAGUUUCUGCAGCUCCCUAAAAGUUCACAUGUCCAAUAUUUUCUUCUAGUUUCCUGGGUUGCCUGACGGGGUCCAAAUCAAUCUACUUUGGGUGUCCAAAAAGGCUUAGAUCUGUUUAAGUUCCUUUGGGAAUUACAUGCUGUGACAAGUGCAGCUGUAUCAGAUGGCAAAUAAGCUCUUUAUCCUGUUUGAAAAAGAUAUAACUGAGGAUGUCCAGUGUAGCCACAUACUUUUUCUAGGGUGAGUUUUUCAUCUAUGUUGAAUAUGAAUGAAGGAAAAACGUCCAUGUCAUGACAUACAUUGCAGCAGAUGAGAUCACUUUGUAAAGAUAAUAUACUGGAUCUUGUGAGCAGAGAACAGAAAUCUGUUUGCUAUUUGAUUUGGAUUUUCCUGGAACAUGAGCAUGACUUUACUAAGCGUGUGCUUAAGUAGCAAGUACUGCAUACUUCUGAUGCUUGCAGAUCUUGGCAACAAGCUUUCUCAAUAUGGAUUUUGAAUUUACAAUGCACAGGUGCUAAUCAUUGAGGCCACUCAGCACUAUACAAGAUCACAUUUUUUUCCACAGACAGGCUGCACACGAGCAGUGACUGCUCCUACCUGGAGUGCUUAGCACUGUGAAGAAUAAUAUUUCCCAUAACUCACUUCUCAAAUAUGUCUUCAGUGCCUCAAAAUGAGCAGCUAACCAUUUUGGUUAUUCUAAGGGAUUUUUGGAAAAGAUUAAACUAGCACUAUAGAAGGUAGUUUAAGUCUAAGGCUCAGAACAGCUCUUUGGGGCUCUGAGAGCAUCUCUCUGAAUGGGAGGAAGUGUUGGGGUGAGGGGGUGCUGAACCCAGAGCCCAUGCAGCUGGAGUUUCUCCUCGUCCUGCUGCUGGCUACAGAGGGAGGCUCUCCAACAGCACUGCACAGCAGGGAGGCUGCAGUUGGGGCCGACCCCUGCCUCGGGAGCUCCUUCUGGCUGAAGCCCUCACACUUGGUCCCUGCAUGAGCUACAGCCCUGCUACAUUGCAACCCUGCCCUUUUAAUC